rnacentral:rRNA from 1 species
UGGGGAAUAUUGCACAAUGGGGGAAACCCUGAUGCAGCAACGCCGCGUGAGUGAUGAAGGUUUUCGGAUCGUAAAGCUCUGUCUUUGGGGAAGAUAAUGACGGUACCCAAGGAGGAAGCCACGGCUAACUACGUGCCAGCAGCCGCGGUAAUACGUAGGUGGCGAGCGUUAUCCGGAUUUACUGGGCGUAAAGGGAGCGUAGGCGGAUGAUUAAGUGGGAUGUGAAAUACCCGGGCUCAACUUGGGUGCUGCAUUCCAAACUGGUUAUCUAGAGUGCAGGAGAGGAGAGUGGAAUUCCUAGUGUAGCGGUGAAAUGCGUAGAGAUUAGGAAGAACACCAGUGGCGAAGGCGACUCUCUGGACUGUAACUGACGCUGAGGCUCGAAAGCGUGGGGAGCAAA